AUUGAACGCUGGCGGCAGGCCUAACACAUGCAAGUCGAGCGGCAGCGGGAAAGUAGCUUGCUACUUUUGCCGGCGAGCGGCGGACGGGUGAGUAAUGCCUGGGAAAUUGCCCAGUCGAGGGGGGUAACAGUUGGAAACGACUGCUAAUACCGCAUACGCCCUACGGGGGAAAGCAGGGGACCUUCGGGCCUUGCGCGAUUGGAUAUGCCCAGGUGGGAUUAGCUAGUUGGUGAGGUAAUGGCUCACCAAGGCGACGAUCCCUAGCUGGUCUGGGAGGAUGAUCAGCCACAAGGGAACUAGGAAAAGGUCCAGACUCCUACGGGAGGCAGAAGUGGGGAAUAUUGCACAAUGGGGGAAACCCUGAUGCAGCCAUGCCGCGUGUGUGAAGAAGGCCUUCGGGUUGUAAAGCACUUUCAGCGAGGAGGAAAGGCCAGUAGCUAAUAUCUGCUGGCUGUGACGUUACUCGCAGAAGAAGCACCGGCUAACUCCGUGCCAGCCGCCGCAGUAAUAC
rnacentral:rRNA from 1 species